GCGGCUAGUUCGCUUUUAUGCCACACACAAAGUAGUGAGUGGCCGAGCGGCUGGUGUAAGCUAUACGAAGGAGAAUAUUCUUAUAUAUUUGCGGCUAUCUGAAUGCAUACUUGCAUACAUACUGUUCAAGCUCAUUGGCCGCCGGCUGAGAAUUAUUGACGGCGUUUUACAGAAAACAUGCACUUGAAUGCGCGCACUUAUUAUCUCAUCUAGGUACUUGGCGACUGCUAUAAUUGCCAAUGGCAGUGGCCGUUCAUAAUGAAUUGGGUGCUGGAAUUAUCUUUGCUGGUAAACAGUAUAA